CUUCCCAGCGAAACGUGUGCGUGCCAACCGUCCUCAAGGCUAUAGCUGUAUUCUACCCUAAGAGAAGCUUUCCGUAAUACUAUGCUUCCGUUAGGACGCGAUUUUCUCGAGUUCGCCCCACCUCAGGGUGAUUUUCCCACACCCCUAACCCCACCUGCAACACCCCAUUUUCUCCUAGGCUUUUAGGAGUGGCCUGAGAGGUGCUUGCAGGGUGUUCCAUUUUGCCUUAGACAGCUUAGGAGACCAACCAAAUGCCUGGAGAUCUGUAUCUAUCGUUAGGCUCCUAGUGGGAUUCACACAAAACCAGUAUGUGUGGGCACAUUCUCCUAGCAGCUCGGUGUCUUUUUGCUGUUGCAGAGGUGAUUUCCAGGCGGAGCUGACCAGUGGGGUUCUCUGGCUGAGGGGAAGACCAGCAGUCAGCUGGUGGAUGUUCUUCUGGAAGAAAUAGCAACGGGAGCUCUAAGAGAGAGAAAUGGCUUCCCUGCAUGGGAGGAGGCGGGGAGCGCUGAAGCUUUCGUGGCCAAGCCCCGGAGCCAGGAUGUCAGGGAGAAGCAGGAGUAUCUGAGCCAGCUGAAGAACAAGCUGGGAGAUCUACUAGAGGGGAAGGCAGAUGAUCUGAAGACUGCUUUCUGUGCGAUUGAUCCCGGUAUCGACGAUCAGACGCUAGAUACCUACAUUGACCUGCCAGACCAAGAUGUGCCUGUGGAAACUGCACUCGAGAGGCUGCUUGCUGGAUAUGCGAGACGAGUAGGGCCCUCGCCCAGGGAGGGAAGCACGACAGGCUUUGGAGGGGAGGAAGGAGACUUCCAAUAAUAAGAAUAAAUGGACUGUUUGAUCUACA